AACGCAUCUUGCGCUCGCUGGUAUUCCGGCGAGCAUGUCUGUUUGAGUGUCGUGAACUCUUCAACCCCCAAUUUUUCUGUAUGGGAAUUUUGGCGCGGCUUGGUUUCUGAACGUUUCAUGCUGGAUUCUACCCUCGGGUGGAAUCGAAGCUCGUUCGUAAUGCAUUAGCAUCCUAAUCUUCGAGAUCAGAUUGACUCGGCGUAAUAGACUAUUCGCUGAGGACAUGGCUCCCCGUCAAAAAGGGAGUUGUGGCUGGACUUGGAAAGCUGGAAGCUUACAAAACCCGACAAUUUAGUCAAUCAUUUUUUAAGAUUGGACCUCAGAUCAGGCAGGAUUACCCGCUGAACUUAA
rnacentral:misc_RNA from 1 species